rnacentral:ribozyme from 1 species
AUGAAAAAAAAAAAAAAAAAAAAAAAAAAAAAAAAACCAUCAGUUGGGAUAUGAUAUUUGGCUCUAUGUUU